AGAACAGAGUAGGCCUCCGGGUGUGAAAACCGAAGGUGUUAAAUGAAAAGAAACACACCAUUUUAAAUGAUGCAGUCACAUGACUGAUGAUUUUCAUGUAUGCAACAGAGGGUUUACUUACUUCAGUCAAUUUAAUCUCCGACUUGAUCCUACUGAGUAUUCCUCCCAUAUGUGAGAAUAUAACAUAUGUUCCUGGGAACCCAGACAAGAGGUUCAGUCCCAAAGGGAUUUGCAUUGUGUGGACCACAUCCUGCUCAAAGCCUCUCAGCUGUUAGUGAGUACCUCUCUGGUGGCAUCUGUAUUCAACAAAAGGAAGGAUCACACCAACAACACAAAACCCUUGGUCCUGUAUGAACAGAGAUAGUCUCCAAGGCCAUCUACAGCCUUCGGUCAUCAACACACAUUUGAAAAGACAAUUGUCACUGAACAUUUUCUUUCUAUUCUGGAUCUCUCCCUGAACCAGGAUUCCAUGGACUCAGCUCCACAAGUUGGCCAGCAAGCCCCAGGAUCCUCUUCUGGAAUUAUGGGAGAACACUGCUGUACUCAGUUUUUUACUUAGCAGGAUGGCGGCAGCGGAAGGGGAUCCACAGAAAACAACAAACUCUAGGACAAGAUGAAAAGACUAUCUGACGGGUCACACGUGCAGAGCCACAGAAGUCCCCCAGGAAAGACCCAGGACAACUAAUGAUGGUUUCGUGUUGGUUCACUCAACAAUGACAAGGGAAGAGACAACCCCCUGUGGUAGACCUAACAGACCAUUCUAGGCUUAGUUCAUGACUGUACACAAAUGCUUUCAUGGGAAUGAGGAAGCUGUCCGUGGUCACUGUGUACAAAUCAAGACAGCACCGGCCAGCUCCCAUGCCCUUGUCCCCAGGUGUGACACAAAUGAGCAAGAAAAUGGAUAAUCCAUUCGAACUGACACAUGUAACCCAGAUAUUCGUUCUCUAGCCCACUGGGCUGUCUGAACUACCAUCAUUACUUAGCCAACCGGGCAUUCACUCGCCUCACAGCAGCCUGCUCUAAGAAGACAGAGGCACUUCUGAAGACUGGAAAGAUUCCAGAAAAUUCUCUCAUUUUCAUGCACAGCCCAGCCAAACAUGGGAAAACUUGCACCUGCCUCAGCUUCCUUGGAGCCCUACACUCUAGAAAUAAAAAAAAAAAAGUGUUAACAUACAAAAAAAAAAAGAAAGAAAGAAAGAAAACUGCUAUUUCUGUCACAGAUGAGUGAAAUGAGUAAAAUCAAUUAAGUAUUUGCAG